ensembl:lncRNA
UUGUUGGGGUCACAUUGGGGUCCAUAUGGGGUCAGUGGGGUCUCUAUGGGGUUUUGAGGUCACAUUGGGGUCUCUAUGGGGUGGGUGGGGUCUCUAUGGGGUUGUUGGGGUCACAUUGGGGUCCAUAUGGGGUCAGUGGGGUCUCUAUGGGGCAUUGGGGUCUGUAUGGGAUGGGGGCACAGCGUGGGGCAGCGCCCCGUUGUGCCCCCAGUCUUGGAUGGCGAUGGUGACCCCGAUGCUGAAGGUGACGCCGACGAUGACGCCGAUGGUGACGACGGUGACGAUGACGAUGACGACGAUGACGACGAAGGCCCCGCGCUGCCCUCGGGCUCAGCGCCGCCGUGUCCCCAAAGCGCCGUCACCGUCCUCCUCUGCGUCCAGCGGGGGCGCAUCACCGCGCACUGCGCGGCUGUGGUGUGUCACCUGUGUGUCACCUGUGUGUCACCUCUGUGUCACCUCUGUGUCACCUCUGUGUCACCUCUGUGUCAUCAUCUGUGUGCCAUCACCUCUGUGUGUCACCUCUGUGUGUCACCUCUGUGUCACCUCUGUGUGUGUCAUUAUCUGUGUGUCACCUCUGUCACCUCUGUGUGUCACUUGUGUGUCACCUGUGUGUCACCUGUGUGUAUCACCUCUGUGUCACCACCUCUGUGUCACCUCUGUGUCACCUGUGUGUGUCACGUCUGUGUGUCAUCACCUGUGUGUCACUUCUGUGUCACCUCUGUGUCACGUGUGUCACCUGUAUGUCAUCACCUGUGUGUCACCUGUGUGUGCCAUCAU